GUCGUGACUGCGUGCCUUUUGAAGAAUGAGCCUGCGAGUUUGCGGUAUGUUGCGAGGUUAACCCGUGUGGGGAAGCCGUAGCGAAAGCGAGUCCGAAGAGGGCGAUAUAGUAGCGUGCCCAAGACCCGAAGCGGAGUGAUCUAGCCAUGGGCAGGUUGAAGCGGAGGUAAGACUUCGUGGAGGACCGAACCCACCAGGGUUGAAAACCUGGGGGAUGACCUGUGGUUAGGGGUGAAAGGCCAAUCAAACUCCGUGAUAGCUGGUUCUCCCCGAAAUGCAUUUAGGUGCAGCGUCGUGUGUUUCUUGCCGGAGGUAGAGCACUGGAUAGGCGAUGGGCCCUACCGGGUUACUGACCUUAGCCAAACUCCGAAUGCCGGUAAGUGAGAGCGCGGCAGUGAGACUGUGGGGGAUAAGCUCCAUGGUCGAGAGGGAAACAGCCCAGAGCAUCGACUAAGGCCCCUAAGCGUGUGCUAAGUGGGAAAGGAUGUGGAGUCGCAGAGACAACCAGGAGGUUGGCUUAGAAGCAGCCAUCCUUGAAAGAGUGCGUAAUAGCUCACUGGUCAAGUGAUUCCGCGCCGACAAUGUAGCGGGGCUCAAGCACACCGCCGAAGUCAUGUCA
rnacentral:rRNA from 1 species